rnacentral:rRNA from 1 species
AACGUAGGUGGCGAGCGUUAUCCGGAUUUACUGGGCGUAAAGGGUGUGCAGGCGGACACUCAAGUGGUGUAUGAAAUCGCCCGGCUCAACCGGGUGGGGUUAUGCCAGACUGGGUUUCUAGAGACCGAGAGAGGGGCGUGGAAUUCCGGGUGUAGUGGUGAAAUGCGUAGAGAUCCGGAGGAACCCCAGAGGCGAAGGCGGCGCCCUAGCUCGGUUCUGACGCUCAGACACGAAAGCAUGGGGAGCGAACGGG